rnacentral:lncRNA from 1 species
GCGGAGGGGAGGGGAGGGGAGGGGAGGGGAGAGGAGGGAAGGGAAAGGAAGGGCAGGGCAGUGCAGGGCAAAAAGGCCAAGCCAUAGUCAGAAAGCCAGGAGGCACCUCCCUGUGCCCCGCCACGGUCUUAAACCCACUUCUCCUUCCUUACAGCCCUAGGACAGAUGUGGCUGAAGGUCAGGCUCCAGACGUGACGCUGGGGUUUCCAGUGACAGCCUGAACCCAGUGCUUGGCCCUGUCUGCACUUUUAUUCGGAGUGGGGCUUGGGCUAGGGGGUGUGUCCUGAGACGGGGAUGGGAUCUGGAUGAACUGAGAUGAAUUCUGGAAGCUUGGAAACCCCUGAGCCCCGGGUCCCCGUGAGUCUCCCUUGGCAGCAGAAGCUGCCCCUCCCCUAUCAGAAGGGACCCACCCCCCGUGCUACCCCCACGCCAGCACCCCCGGCUGGCUGCCCUCCCCACGACCAGAAGGAAACUGUCCUGUAUUCUCUGAAUACACAGCCUGAGGGACAGGAGACCAUGCAGGGACAUGGGGAAGCAGCGUGAAUGUGGAUUCUGAGGGUGUCACACCAAGGGGGACAGGUCUGGGCUGAAUGUUCCUACUCCUGCAGUUGGAGGUGCCUCUUGGAGUUCACUUGGACCCUAGACUCCGUGGUGGCCUGAUCCCAUGAGGCUGAGAUGCCACAACCUCCCCGCACCGUGGGAGGAGGAAGCCGGGCCACCUGAGGAGGACGAGGGAACCCUGGGAGAUGGCGGGAGGCAACCGCGCCAGCUGGCCUCGUGAACAGCACAGAAAUGGAGCUGGGGGUGCCCGUGUCGUCAUCACGAAUCCAGCCAUCUCAUGAAUGCAAUUACGUCUUUUUACCCUUUCUCCUACCCUUACUGGUUUUUUGCUGUUGUUGUUUUUUGUUUUUUGUUUUGAGACAGGGUCUCCCCCUGUCAUCCAGGCUGGAGUGCAGUGGCGCGAUCUCAGCUCACUGCAGCCUCUGCCUCCCAGGUUCAAGCGAUUCUCCCGCCUCGGCCUCCGAGUAGCUGGGAUUACAGGCGUGCACCACCAUGCCCAGCCUACCCUUACUUUUUAAAUAUUUGUGGUGUUUGGCACCGUAGCUAUGGGUUACAGAAAGCCCAGGUGAUGUCACACGGAAUUUACCCCUGCGUGGUGCCUGCGGGGUGGCUGGAGCCAGGGUCUCCGUCUUGGGUGGGGACUCGGGGAGAGCUGCAGUGUCCUAGGCAGCCACCUGGGGCCCGGUCACAUGGAAGUCAGAUGUGGGCCUGGGCCGCCGUGCAGCGAUGGCUGUGCCAGCCGUCUGCCUUGCCUCUCACCUCCACCCCACCACAUCGGCCACUCUGCCCUGGGGCUGGGACUGACCCUUCACCCUUGCUCCCAGGCUUCCGACCACUGCCCUCUGGUUGGGUCCGGUCAAGGGAGCCCCUGGCCGCAGCCCAGAGGGAUUGGGGGCCUGGACCCCUCCACAUCUGUCUUGGGUGGCAUUUCUUCACCUCGGCUCCCGCUGGCAGGUGCCUCCUUCUUGAUCCUCCUUUUCUAGGAAGCCUGGCCUGACUCUGCGUCCCCAACUCCAGCUUCACCCCGGCAGCCUUAGGACAUGGCAGCGGCCUCCUGCCGUGGGCCACGGAUUCCCGCACCGCCUCGGUCACCCGGUCUUCAGGCGCGGCCCCUGUCGAGUCACCCGACAGACUCGUAGGUUUGUUCUGUUUUUCAGCGCCCUGCGUCAGCUGCCUGCACACCGGGCCCAGCUCAGCUGUGCAUGGCUCCAGCACCAUUUUAAUUAUCGUAUCCACUGCAAAAUGCGUCAUUUCUUGUUGUGUUAGCGGUCGCUGUUUCCUGACUCCCUGCUGUGCGGCUAAAUGAGUUAGACGAAUCUGUUCUCUCCUGAACUUGGCGGAGCUCCUCGGCACCCCACACUGUUCUGGGGACUUGGGCUGCCUCGGAGGAAAAAGAAAACAGAUGUCACCAUGCCCUGUGGAGCCUGCGUCCUAGUGCGGAUGUGGCAGUCGGUCCACGGGAUGCACGCGGGACCCCAGGUGAAGGUGACCACCGUGGAGGAAGGUGGGACAAGGCGGGAAGGGCUGGGCGAAGGGAGCACGGUCACCUGGGGAGCGGCUCCAGACAGGGGACAGCAGGAGGCCCUCGCCACAGCACCUGGUGUGGGAGGCACAGCCAGGGUCAUCGUGGCCACGGGCUGGAGGCCAGAGGGGUCUGUUCUGCGCAAUGGCUGCUGAGCUGCAGCGAUGGGGUGGACGCCGAGGGGACCCGGGCAGCCGAGAGGCAGCAUGAGGAGGGAUUGGGUUCUGUGCAUUUCCAUGGUGCAGCCAUGGGAACCUCUAUGGGAUGAAGGGGCCGGGAGAAGCUGCGGGGCCCAUGGCGGGGCCUGGAAGGCUGGGCACCCCUCACUAGGUACGGGGACUUCUGGGCAGCAAGUGAUCGGGGAUCGUUAGGAUUCAGCCAUGUUGAGUGUGAGAAGCCUCUGGGACAGCCGGGUGGAGAUGUUGGGGCCUCCGGACUCACGGCCUGGGAGUCGGCGGCAGGAGGGUGGCCAGUGGUCAUCAGCACAGGCGGCUCGAGAGGCCAGGGCCGGACAGAGCAGGUGUCAAGCCUCGGAGCAGAGGACCCAGAGGGCAGGCACAGCCACAGGCCUGGGAGCCGGGGAGCACAGAGCCCUGGACACACACCGGAGCACGUUGCAGAAAGGAAGGGCUGGUCAUGUGUGUGUAGCGUGUCUGUGAGUGUCUGCGUGUGUCUCUGUGACCAUGUGUCUCUGUAAGGGAUUCUGUGUAUUUCUGUGUCAGUAUCUCUGUGUGUCCACGUGUGUCCACAUGUGUCUGCAUGUGGGAUGCCGAGUACCUGUGUGUGUCUACGUGUGUCUGUCUAGGUGCAUGUGGUCUGGGGCUGCACAGAGGCUGGGUGGGGAUGCUGACAACCAUCCCAGACUGAGCCCUGUAGCCCCGAGAGGAGGGCGUCGGUAGCCUGUGGAGCAUGGCUGGGAGGGACCCCUGGAGCUGAAGCAGACAGGUCAGGGUCACCGUGACUGUCUCCCGCCCUGGUUCUGGGACCCUGGGCCUCAGGGUCUGGGCCACCUCUCCCUGGCCGGGUGGAGCAGCUCCAUGGCAACCCAGGUCCCCACCAUCCAGGACAGGGUCUGCCUCAGCCUCGGGUGGCCGAGCCAGGCAGGGUGAGGCCGAGAGGGCAGAGGAUGGGAAGCCCAGGUACCCACUUCCGCCGCCGGCCCCACCGGCCUCCCUCACCCCUCCCAACAACCCACGGCCUGGGAGUGUCGAUUCUGCGCCACUAACUCAUUGAUCGCCUUGCCCGGGUUAAUUAAUUAAUUAGGGGCAGCCAUGGAGCACAGUGGGCUGGGGCCAAGGAGGGACCCCAGCGCCGGGAGCUUUAUUAGUACAUAAAAUGGGUGUUUAAAACACACACGGCCACGAGCGUGCAGUUGAGGCUUUUCAUUAAACAAACCUAUAACAUUACGUGCCUCAUUAUGUAUUUCGAGACUUCCCCUGCCUUCCGCGCUCCCUCUCCACCUGCCUCCCCGCGCACUCCAAGUGCCUAUUUGAAAUCAAUUUCUCUAAUAAUGGAC